CAGGUCUUGCAAGAGGAAGUAGAUGGAUAGAAGAAGAAUGUUGUUAAGUUUACCUUGCGUCAACAAGAAAGACGUUCCCAUCACAAUCAUUGUGAAUCAAGAAUCCAUGCAAGCUCAGAGGAAGAAAGUGUCGAUGCAAAUUCCAAAACCUCAUGGUGCCGUGGCCAGUGCUGCUAGAAGACUGCAUCAAAAUAAAGGCUCUAUAAUUAUUUAAAAACUUUUGAGGGGACUAAUUGCAAAAGUAAUACAAGAAUGAGCUUUUUUACUAAGGCUAUCUCCUCUUAGAGCACCAUCUCCUCUAUUCAUCUUGUCAUUUGUCAUCUUGGCUAAUUUAUUUUACCUAAAGAAUGAGAUAAAGUAAAAACAAAUUAUCUUGAUUGUUGUAGAAUUAUCUAAGGGAACCAGUAUUAAUUUCAUAUGCUUAAUAACUUAACUAAAGGCACCUCUAGAAACCUAACCAUCUGGAGUUCAGACCAAAAAGAGCACCAAUUUCUACAGCUACAUCAGACAAGAACCAAUUUUAUAGAGACAAAUGCAUACUUGAGAGUGAUAACAGAUCAUUUCUUCAAAUCAUAGAUUCAAAUACAUAGAACCGCUAGAAGCUUUUCCUUGUCAGAUUCAAAUCAACAUAAUUAUAUAUGAAGAGAAGAGCUACACAGAAAAAGCUAUAAAAAAACUGGCCUUAAUUUGACGAAAGCUGCCCAAUGCGUGCGUGAGAUUGAAAUAUAACAUUUCGUCUGUGGAGUACGAUUCAAAGCUCCACGGCGCAGCUGACUCUGACGGUGAAGACAGCAUUCAGAGCUCCACGGCGCAGCGGAUUCUGACGGUGGAAUGUGAAGAUAUGGCACGAGGCGCUGGAGUACGAUUCAAAGCUCCACGACGCAGCGGAAUCCGACGGUGGAGACAACGAUUCAGAGUACGGCACGGUGGACUCAGGGCGUAGGAGACAUCGAAUGGUGGGAAGAAGGUAUGAAGGAGGUUGCACGGUCAUGGCGGCGGACGAGGCUCUUCGAUUUGGGGUGAAGCGUUCCAGAUGUAGGAUUUGGGGUGAAUUUAGGGUUUCGAUUUUGGGGGUUCCAAACUUGCCCAAGUUUGAUUUGUU
rnacentral:lncRNA from 1 species